UAACUAGUAUAUUUAAAAAAAAUGUUUUUUUCAACAACAGCUCCUAAACCAAUGCCAAACAGGUCUUAAGUGAUUAUAUUCAUUAUGAUGAUGUAGGAAUACUUUGGAAGAAAAUGCAAAACAAAGGGUAAAAAAAGAAGUUCUCCUUGAUUCUAAACAAUUUAAAAUUCUGUUAUCUAAGUGUUGUAAACUGUUGCAUCUAGAAUUCAAGGAAAGCUUAUAGAGGUGAAAGGGAACCAAUAAAUCUUGAUAUAAUCAUCCUUCCACUACUAAUAAAUCUUAGGUAAAAAAUCCAAUACUAAACAAUAUGAUGCGUCCCACAUUGAUUUUGCUGGGAGGUAUUGGGUGUUAUAUAUAUAGGUUUG
rnacentral:misc_RNA from 1 species